UACGUAGGGGGGCAAGCGUUGUCCGGAUUUAUUGGGCGUAAAGAGCGUGUAGGCGGCUAGAUAGGUCCGUUGUGAAAACUCGAGGCUCAACCUCGAGACGUCGAUGGAAACCAUCUGGCUAGAGUCCGGAAGAGGAGAGUGGAAUUCCUGGUGUAGCGGUGAAAUGCGCAGAUAUCAGGAAGAACACCCGUGGCGAAGGCGGCUUACUGGUCCGGUACUGACGCUGAGACGCGAAAGCGUGGGGAGCGAACAGG
rnacentral:rRNA from 1 species